UCAAGAGCAUGUCAGGCUAGUUCUUUUUAUUCAGUUCUAAAGGGAGGUGAAUCCUUGUUACAAGUAAUUGAUUAAUUGAGUAUUAUUAUUUAUUCCUUCUUGUGUGAAAUUUCUUCUGAUAAUCUAUUUUCAUUGAUUGCAUGUUAAUUGAUCUAAUUGAUUUAAUAUGGCCAAUUGAGUUAAUUUAAUCAUUAUCAUAUGCUAGAUUAAGAUUGGUAUUACGUGUAAUUGAUAUCUCUCUUCAUCACAAGUAGCAACUUGGUAAUAAU
rnacentral:lncRNA from 1 species